rnacentral:rRNA from 1 species
CCUACGGGUGGCAGCAGUGAGGAAUAUUGGUCAAUGGACGAGAGUCUGAACCAGCCAAGUAGCGUGAAGGAUGACUGCCCUAUGGGUUGUAAACUUCUUUUAUAUGGGAAUAAAAUGUUCCACGUGUGGGAUUUUGUAUGUACCAUAUGAAUAAGGAUCGGCUAACUCCGUGCCAGCAGCCGCGGUAAUACGGAGGAUCCGAGCGUUAUCCGGAUUUAUUGGGUUUAAAGGGAGCGUAGGUGGAUUGUUAAGGCAGUUGUGAAAGUUUGCGGCUCAACCGUAAAAUUGCAGUUGAAACUGGCAGUCUUGAGUACAGUAGAGGUGGGCGGAAUUCGUGGUGUAGCGGUUAAAUGCUUAGAUAUCACGAAGAACUCCGAUUGCGAAGGCAGCUCACUGGACUGCAACUGACACUGAGGCUCGAAAGUGUGGGUAUCGAACAGGAUUAGAUACCCCGGUAGUC